rnacentral:misc_RNA from 1 species
UUCGAGUUAAUCAGAUUAAUCUAUAUAAAUUAUCUUCAUGUUAGAAUCUUAGAAGUAUAAUAUAUAAAUAUAAUUAUAUCAACACAAAAAUUGAGAUGAAAAUAAGGCUGGAGGCUUAAUUCCUUCGAGCCACACUUCUCAAGUUCAAUUUCCAAUUUCAACAUUUGUGUUCUCUUUUUAUUCAACUUAACUAAUCCUAGCUGUCCAUUCCAUUUCUGAUAAUCUUAGCCCUUGUAAGUCUUAGUAUACCU